AGAAAUAACAAUACAAGGCAGUUAAAAUGCUUUGUAAUUGGAAUGAUAGAAAUUUAAAGACUUUUUAAAGUAUCAAUUGGAGGGCAAGUCUGGUGCCAGCAGCCGCGGUAAUUCCAGCUCCAAUAGCGUAUAUUAAAAUUGUUGCAGUUAAAAAGCUCGUAGUUGAAUUUCUGCUAAAAAUAACCGAUCUGCUUUUAAUAAAGGUGGUAUCUUGGUGUGUUUUUAGCAAUAAUGUCCUUUGGAAUGUUUUUUACUUCAUUGUAAUAAAUUAUAUUCAGGAUUUUUACUUUGAGAAAAUUAGAGUGUUUCUAGCAGGCUAAUGCUUUGAAUACUGCAGCAUGGAAUAAUAAAAUAGGAUUUUGGUUCUACAUUAUUGGUUUUAAGAGCUAAAUUAAUGAUUGAUAGGGACAGUUGGGGGCAUUUGUAUUUAACUGUCAGAGGUGAAAUUCUUAGAUUUGUUAAAGACAAACUACUGCGAAAGCAUUUGCCAAAGAUGUUUUUCAUAAUCAAGAACGAAAGUUAGGGGAAUCGAAGAA
rnacentral:rRNA from 1 species